rnacentral:rRNA from 1 species
CGGACGGGUGAGUAAUGUCUGGGAAACUGCCCGAUGGAGGGGGAUAACUACUGGAAACGGUAGCUAAUACCGCAUAACGUCGCAAGACCAAAGAGGGGGACCUUCGGGCCUCUUGCCAUCGGAUGUGCCCAGAUGGGAUUAGCUAGUAGGUGGGGUAACGGCUCACCUAGGCGACGAUCCCUAGCUGGUCUGAGAGGAUGACUAGCCACACUGGAACUGAGACACGGUCCAG